AAACUUUCAACAACGGAUCUCUUGGCUCUGGCAUCGAUGAAGAACGCAGCGAAAUGCGAUAAGUAAUGUGAAUUG
rnacentral:rRNA from 1 species